GAUGAACGCUGGCGGCGUGCCUAUACAUGCCAGUCGCGCGAACAGACGAGGAGCUUGCUCCUCUGACGUUAGCGGCGGACGGGUGAGUAACACGUGGAUAACCUACCUAUAAGACUGGGAUAACUUCGGGAAACCGGAGCUAAUACCGGAUAAUAUAUUGAACCGCAUGGUUCAAUAGUGAAAGACGGUUUUGCUGUCACUUAUAGAUGGAUCCGCGCCGCAUUAGCUAGUUGGUAAGGUAACGGCUUACCAAGGCAACGAUGCGUAGCCGACCUGAGAGGGUGAUCGGCCACACUGGAACUGAGACACGGUCCAGACUCCUACGGGAGGCAGCAGUAGGGAAUCUUCCGCAAUGGGCGAAAGCCUGACGGAGCAACGCCGCGUGAGUGAUGAAGGUCUUCGGAUCGUAAAACUCUGUUAUUAGGGAAGAACAAAUGUGUAAGUAACUAUGCACGUCUUGACGGUACCUAAUCAGAAAGCCACGGCUAACUACGUG
rnacentral:rRNA from 1 species